rnacentral:rRNA from 1 species
UACAGAGGUCUCAAGCGUUGUUCGGAUUCAUUGGGCGUAAAGGGUGCGUAGGCGGCGCGGUAAGUCGGGUGUGAAAUCCUGGAGCUCAACUCCAGAACUGCCUUUGAUACUGGCGAUCUUGAGUGCGGGAGAGGAUGGUGGAAUUCCCAGUGUAGAGGUGAAAUUCGUAGAUAUUGGGAAGAACACCGGUGGCGAAGGCGGCCAUCUGGACCGCAACUGACGCUGAGGCGCGAAAAGCGUGGGGGAGCAAACAGGG